AUACAUUUCUCGCUUUUUUGACUAAGAUCAAGUAUAGUAUUUAUUCUUAUCAGUUUAAUAUAUGAAUGUGAGUCAUUGACUCACCCAAUAUUAACUCUAUUUUUUAAGGGGAGAGGUUCACCACGGUAGCUUGCUAACAUGACCUUCAAGAGUCGCCUUGAUGUUGCACUAUUGUCUUGGCCUAGCUCUCCCCAC
rfam:Solanum lycopersicum cultivar Heinz 1706 chromosome 10, whole genome shotgun sequence.